rnacentral:rRNA from 1 species
CGGUAAUUCCAGCUCCAAUAGCGUAUAUUAAAGUUGUUGCAGUUAAAAAGCUCGUAGUUGGACCUUGGACCUGGACAGGCGGUCCGCCUCACGGCGAGUACUGUCUUGCUGGGUCUUUCCUCUUGGUGAUCUGUUGUUUCGGCAGCAGGGAACCAGGACCUUUACUUUGAAAAAAUUAGAGUGUUCAAAGCAGGCUCGACGCCGGAAUAUAUUAGCAUGGAAUAAUAAAAUAGGACGUGCGGUUCUAUUUUGUUGGUUUUUGGAAUCGCCGUAAUGAUUAAUAGGGACAGACGGGGGCAUUAGUACUCACAUGCUAGAGGUGAAAUUCUUGGAUUUUGUGAAGACUAACUUCUGCGAAAGCAUUUGCCAAGGAUGUUUUCAUUAAUCAAGAACGAAGGUUAGGGUAUCGAAAGCGAUUAGAUACCGUUGUAGUCUUAACAGUAAACUAUGCCGACUAGGGAUCGGUCGAUGUUAUCUUUUUGACUCGAUCGGCACCUUACGAGAAAUCAAAGUUUUUGGGUUCUGGGGGGAGUAUGGUCGCAAGGCUGAAACUUAAAGAAAUUUGACGGAAGGGCACCACCCAGGAGUGGAGCCUGGGGCUUAAUUUGAUUCAACACGGGGGAAA